CAAGUCGAACGGGAUCCAUCAGGCUUUGCUUGGUGGUGAGAGUGGCGAACGGGUGAGUAAUGCGUGACCGACCUGCCCCAUACACCGGAAUAGCUCCUGGAAACGGGUGGUAAUGCCGGAUGCUCCGACUCCUCGCAUGGGGUGUCGGGAAAGAUUUCAUCGGUAUGGGAUGGGGUCGCGUCCUAUCAGGUAGUCGGCGGGGUAACGGCCCACCGAGCCUACGACGGGUAGCCGGCCUGAGAGGGCGACCGGCCACAUUGGGACUGAGAUACGGCCCAGACUCCUACGGGAGGCAGCAGUGGGGAAUAUUGCACAAUGGGCGCAAGCCUGAUGCAGCGACGCCGCGUGCGGGAUGACGGCCUUCGGGUUGUAAACCGCUUUUGAUCGGGAGCAAGCCUUCGGGUGAGUGUACCUUUCGAAUAAGCACCGGCUAACUACGUGCCAGCAGCCGCGGUAAUACGUAGGGUGCAAGCGUUAUCCGGAAUUAUUGGGCGUAAAGGGCUCGUAGGCGGUUCGUCGCGUCCGGUGUGAAAGUCCAUCGCUUAACGGUGGAUCUGCGCCGGGUACGGGCGGGCUGGAGUGCGGUAGGGGAGACUGGAAUUCCCGGUGUAACGGUGGAAUGUGUAGAUAUCGGGAAGAACACCAAUGGCGAAGGCAGGUCUCUGGGCCGUUACUGACGCUGAGGAGCGAAAGCGUGGGGAGCGAACAGGAUUAGAUACCCUGGUAGUCCACGCCGUAAACGGUGGAUGCUGGAUGUGGGGCCCGUUCCACGGGUUCCGUGUCGGAGCUAACGCGUUAAGCAUCCCGCCUGGGGAGUACGGCCGCAAGGCUAAAACUCAAAGAAAUUGACGGGGGCCCGCACAAGCGGCGGAGCAUGCGGAUUAAUUCGAUGCAACGCGAAGAACCUUACCUGGGCUUGACAUGUUCCCGACAGC
rnacentral:rRNA from 1 species